CAGUUUCCAGGCUGGAGUGUAAUGGCGUGAUCUUGGCUCACUGCAACCUCUGCCUCCCAGCUUCAAGUGAUUCCCCUGCUUUAGCCUCCCAAGCAGCUGGGACUACAGGCAUGCACCAGCAUGGCCGGCUAAUUUUUUUUUGUAUUUUAGUACAGAUGGGGUUUAACCAUGUUGGCCAGGAUGAUCUUGAUCUCCUGACCUCGUGAUCUGCCCACCUCGGCCUCCCAAAGUGCUAGGAUUACAGGCGUGAGCCACCUUGCCCGGCCUUCUAUUCCUUUUUCUAAUGCAUUUGCCCCAGCUAUCUGUAUAGCCUGCAAUCUGGUAGAUGGACCACAGGGAAACCACUGCAGCAAACUAAAAGUGUCUAUCUCAGAUCCUUCCACCACCAUCAUUUCCAAAAUCACCGUCACUAUCUCCACCACCAUCACCUUUACCACCAUCACCACUAUCAUCCUCAUCCUUCCCAUCACCAUCUCCACUGCUAUCUCUCAACACCAUCAUCAUCACCACCACCACCAUCAUCACCAUGAGCACCACCUCUGUCGUCAUCAAAAAAGCACACAGUUCAGGCUGGCCUGUUGGAGGAUAACAGAUCAUGUGGAGCAGAGACGAGCUGGCCCACCUCAGGCCCUACCAGAGCAAUCAGCUUGCCAAACACGACAUACAUCAGCGAGGCCAUCCUAGACCAUCCAGCCCUAGCUGAGCCAGCCCAGACCAGAGACUCAUGAGAAACAGUAAAAUGUUCAUCAUUUU
rnacentral:lncRNA from 1 species